GGCGUAAAGGGAGCGUACGUGGCUCGAUAAGUCAGAUGUGAAAUCCCCGGGCUCAACCUGGGAACUGCAUCUGAUACUGUUGAGCUAGAGUAUGUGAGAGGAAGGUAGAAUUCCAGGUGUAGCGGUGAAAUGCGUAGAGAUCUGGAGGAAUACCGAUGGCGAAGGCAGCCUUCUGGCAUAAUACUGACACUGAGGCUCGAAAGCGUGGGUAGCAAACAGGAUUAGAUACCCUGGUAGUCCACGCCGUAAACGAUGUCUACUAGUCGUUGGGUCCCUUGAGGACUUAGUGACGCAGCUAACGCAAUAAGUAGACCGCCUGGGGAGUACGGCCGCAAGGUUAAAACUCAAAUGAAUUGACGGGGGCCCGCACAAGCGGUGGAGCAUGUGGUUUAAUUCGAUGCAACGCGAAGAACCUUACCUGGUCUUGACAUAUCUAGAAUCCUGCAGAGAUGCGGGAGUGCCUUCGGGAAUUAGAAUACAGGUGCUGCAUGGCUGUCGUCAGCUCGUGUCGUGAGAUGUUGGGUUAAGUCCCGCAACGAGCGCAACCCUUGUCCUUAGUUACCAGCGGGUUAAGCCGGGAACUCUAAGGAUACUGCCAGUGACAAACUGGAGGAAGGCGGGGACGACGUCAAGUCAUCAUGGCCCUUACGACCAGGGCUACACACGUGCUACAAUGGUAGGUACAGGGGGCAGCUACACAGCGAUGUGAUGCGAAUCUCAAAAAGCCUAUCGUAGUCCAGAUUGGAGUCUGCAACUCGACUCCAUGAAGUAGGAAUCGCUAGUAAUC
rnacentral:rRNA from 1 species